AUUGAACGCUGGCGGCAGGCCUAACACAUGCAAGUCGAACGAGUGGCGGACGGGUGAGUAAUGUCUGGGAAACUGCCUGAUGGAGGGGGAUAACUACUGGAAACGGUAGCUAAUACCGCAUACCAUCAGAUGUGCCCAGAUGGGAUUAGCUAGUUGGUGGGGUAACUGCUCACCAAGGCGACGAUCACUAGCUGGUCUGAGAGGAUGACCAUCCACACUGGAACGGAGACACGGCCCAGACUCCUACGGGAGGCAGCAUGGGGGAAGAUUGCACAAUGGGCGCAACCCUGAUGCAGCCAUGCCUCGUGUAUGAAGAAGGCCUUCGGGUUGUAAAGUACUUUCAGCGGGGAGGCGUUACCUGCAGAAGAAGCACCGGCUAACUCCGUGCCAGCAGCCGCGGUAAUUC
rnacentral:rRNA from 1 species